rnacentral:rRNA from 1 species
UACGAAGGGGGCUAGCGUUGCUCGGAAUCACUGGGCGUAAAGCGCACGUAGGCGGCUUCUUAAGUCAGGGGUGAAAUCCUGGAGCUCAACUCCAGAACUGCCUUUGAUACUGAGGAGCUUGAGUCCGGGAGAGGUGAGUGGAACUGCGAGUGUAGAGGUGAAAUUCGUAGAUAUUCGCAAGAACACCAGUGGCGAAGGCGGCUCACUGGCCCGAUACUGACGCUGAGGCACGAAAGCGUGGGGAGCAAACAGG